rnacentral:rRNA from 1 species
GACGGAGGAUGCAAGUGUUAUCCGGAAUCACUGGGCGUAAAGCGUCUGUAGGUGGUUUAAUAAGUCAACUGUUAAAUCUUGAGGCUCAACCUCAAAAUCGCAGUCGAAACUAUUAGGCUAGAGUAUAGUAGGGGUAAAGGGAAUUUCCAGUGGAGCGGUGAAAUGCGUAGAGAUUGGAAGGAACACCGAUGGCGAAGGCACUUUACUGGGCUAUUACUAACACUCAGAGACGAAAGCUAGGGUAGCAAAUGGG